GCGUAAGGAGCUCGUAGGUGGUUUGUCGCGUUGUUCGUGAAAACUCACAGCUUAACUGUGGGCGUGCGGGCGGUACGGGCAGACUAGAGUACUGCAGGGGAGACUGGAAUUCCUGGUGUAGCGGUGGAAUGCGCAGAUAUCAGGAGGAACACCGGUGGCGAAGGCGGGUCUCUGGGCAGUAACUGACGCUGAGGAGCGAAAGCGUGGGGAGCGAACAGGAUUAGAUACCNCUGGUAGUCCACGCCGUAAACGGUGGGUACUAGGUGUGGGUUCCUUCCUUGGGAUCCGUGCCGUAGCUAACGCAUUAAGUACCCCGCCUGGGGAGUAUGGCCGCAAGGCUAAAACCCAAAGGAAUUGACGGGGGCCCGCACAAGCGGCGGAGCAUGUGGAUUAAUUCGAUGCAACGCGAAGAACCUUACCUGGGUUUGACAUGCACAGGGCGCCGGCAGAGAUGUCGGUUCCCUUGUGGCCUGUGUGCAGGUGGUGCAUGGCUGUCGUCAGCUCGUGUCGUGAGAUGUUGGGUUAAGUCCCGCAACGAGCGCAACCCUUGUCCUAUGUUGCCAGCGGGUUAUGCCGGGGACUCGUAGGAGACUGCCGGAGUCAACUCGGAGGAAGGUGGGGAUGACGUCAAGUCAUCAUGCCCCUUAUGUCCAGGGCUUCACACAUGCUACAAUGGCCGGUACAAAGGGCUGCGAUGCCGUGAGGUGGAGCGAAUCCUUUCAAAGCCGGUCUCAGUUCGGAUCGGGGUCUGCAACUCGACCCCGUGAAGUCGGAGUCGCUAGUAAUCGCAGAUCAGCACGCUGCGGU
rnacentral:rRNA from 1 species